rnacentral:lncRNA from 1 species
UUUUUUUUUUCAAUUUGCAGAGCUUUUCAUUAGAACUCCACAUUUUCACAUAAAUAAUAUUAGUAGGAAGUAUUACUAGCAUUGUACCACCUCCCAACAUGAAUAUAUUUCAAAUCUGUACAUCUCUACUUUUAAUUCACUUACUUACUAAAAGAAUAGUCAAGAAAAGAUGUUUGUAUAUGGGUAUAUAUUAAGAACAAUAGCCUUAGCCUAUUCUUACGUAUUUCAUUAACAUGAAAUACAUCUGAAUUACUGUAACUUAAAAAAUUUACAGCAGCUAUCAGUCUGAAAGGUAGAACUAUUUUCUAAAAGUAAUACCUUCUAAAAUUAAGGAAGUUGUGGAAAAAGGGGGAAGUGAACAUGAAUCUUUAAAAAAAUUACUCAGCACUCUAAUUCAAAGUUUUUUCCUUCUACUCUUUUUAUUAUUUUUCACUUUUCCCAAAAACUAGAUACAAAUAAUAUGAGAAAAGCUUUUCAUCAAUCCAUACAAAGUUUUUAAGUAACAAUGUCAUACUACUUCAUUAACAAGUCCUCUGGGUACAGAAUUUUUUGACAUGGACAUGAACAGAUUGAAGGAAGGAAGUUCCAGUCUUCAAAGAGCUGGCUCAGAAUAAAGGCUAACAUGGAGAAGACGAUAAAUUAGUCUAGAUCUACCUGAGAAAAAGACCCAUGUACAAUAAAAAAUAGAGUGAAUACACUUGUAUUCUUAAAAAUGUGCAACUAUUUAUGUUAAGAAUAAAAUAGCUUUUGGGGGGAAGUGUGUUUUAGGUUCCUGCUUUGGAGCCUGAGAGAGUGUUCUCCUUUUGCCAUGGAUGAUGGCAACUGGCAUAGAGGCAACACCAAGGCUCAAGGAAUAAGCCUUCCUCUCCAGAGGAACACAGCAUGAGCACGGGACAAAGACAGCAUUAGUUAUAUCUUCACAAAUCAGACGCUCAGAAUCCACAAUACCUAGACUCAUAUUACCAGUGAAUGGGAUAAUCUAUAACAAUUUGAUUAUAGGAAUUAUAGGUUUCAAAGGGACAAAAUAAAAUUUCUCUUCCCAAUCCAUAAAAAUAUGGACUAGAUCCAAUGAACAUUUAACUAAGUUUCUAGUUUAUGUCAUAUACUUUCCCAAAUAUAAUGUGAUUUAAUUAUCACCAAAAUCUUAGUGUAUAGGUAUUAUCAUCUUAAUUUAGCAGAUGAGAGAACUAAGAGAAGACAAAGCUCUGGCUCUCAAUUGGAAACUGUGGAACUAGAGCCUGAACCCAAGUCUAAUGCUUUACUCCAUCUUUCCACACUGCGUUAUACCCCUGAUAAGGGCUCAUAGUUGGGUUAAAAUGAAGACUUAACACAUUGUAAGAUGAUUGUUUCUGGUUUUUACAAAUGAUUGAGGUAGCUGAUAAAAUACCAGUGCUGUAUUUUAAAGUGUGAAUAAGUAAAGAAAUUGAAACAAAGAAAAACUAUGAUUGGGCAAAAAAAGUUGUAGGAAAUGUAUGUUUUUACAUAUCCUUGUGAUGGUGGUACAAUAACAUAAGACUUUUUUUCAAAAUAUCAUCACCAAAAAAGAAACUGCAUGGGAAGCACAGCAAUAUUAUAAGGUGUAAACUCCCUCUGGAUUUCUCUUUUCUAGAGUUUCUCUAAUUUCCAGUGACACAGCUGUCAACAAUGAUCCAAAAGCAGACAAGGCUUCCUUUUCCAGGUGACUAGAAUUAUGUGAUCUCUGGAAACAAUGCCCUAGGAACUUAGUCCUAUUUACUCUUUUCUUUUGAAGACAAACCACAGGGAUCCCUGGGUGGCGCAGCGGUUUGGCGCCUGCCUUUGGCUCAGGGCGCGAUCCUGGAGACCGGGGAUCGAAUCCCACGUCGGGCUCCUGGUGCAUGGAGCCUGCUUCUGUCUCUGCCUCUCUCUCUCUCUCUCUCUCUCUCUCUCUCUCUCUCUCUGUGUGACUAUCAUAAAUAAAUAAAAAUUAAAAAAAAUAUAUUGAAGACAAACCACAAUUUCCUGGGAAAAAGCAGAGUGUAUUCAUUUAACAUAUUACAAAAAUAGUGUACAAUAUAACAAGGUUUUACAAGCUUAGCUUUUAUCCUAUAAAUUCUUUUGGAUCUUAUAACAAAUUCUUCAUUACUGUGAAGAAAGCUGACACACACCUCAACUGGGCUAAGAGGUAAAGUGUCAAAUGCAUCUGUCAGUUUUUAAAUUCACCUGCUUCUGAAAUGAUUGAUAUGGUGGGGAAAAGUGCAAAAGGAAAGGACUCCUCCCCAGCUCAGUCCUAUUGGUACGAUAUUCUCCCAAUCAGCCCAUACUUUGGUUUUCUGAGUAGACAUGGUGCUCUAUGGUUUACUAAGAACCUGACAUUCCAGGUCCUCUGCUUCCAAGCCUCCCACUGUAAGCUCUUGUCAGGAGACAAAACUACACAUGAUACACAUUUUAAAUUCUCCUCUCUGCUCACCUACUUACCUAUUUUUCAUUCUUUCUUCCCUCUUUCUUGCUUCAAGGAUAGAGAUUAGAAAUGGUAUUGCUUACUUCUCCAAAUAGUCUAAGGGAAUAAAUGUAUACUACUAGUUUAAUUAACACUGAAAUUUAAAUAGAAUGAAACAUAUCUCUGAAGAAAUAACAAAUGCUCACCUACCAAAACUAUUUCCUGUUUUGUUAACAAAACCUGGCUCUUGAAGCUAUAAACGAUUUAUUAUUUCUAAUAAAUUUCAUAUAUAAUAAUUUGUUUGUAAUUUAGACUUCCAUAGUGCUACCAUUAUAUAUACAUCACAGUUCCUCUAUGCAACUAACAUUAAAGAAGAUAACUGAGUCUUCUCCCUUAAUUCACUACAAUAAUAUUUUGAAACCAUACUAUGCCCAAGACAGAUUUUAGAUGCUCCUGGAUGUUUUAAGAAGAACAAGCUUAAGAAUUGGGAAGGGAUUACUGCCCCUCCGCUGGCUUUCAUGGCAUAGUUGGGGAUGUAAAAUAUGCACAAAUCACUGUAACAGCAGAGAUACAAAUAAAAUGCCAUGAAAACCAAGAGGAAGGGAAGGGCAAUAAAUAAUUCCUUCAUAAUUCUUAAAGAACUGAUAUAAAGCAAAGUAAAUUAUGGUAGACUGAAAUUCAAAAUCUAAUAUAAAGGAGCUUAGACACAAGAGUAUUCCUAAUUAUAAAUUCUAACAAAAACUUACAAACUUUUCCUGCUUAUGUUUUAGAAUGAUUCCACUCAACAUCUUCCUGCCAUAUUUCAUAUGACCCCUGAAAAUGCCAUCACCCCUAAGAGGCUCUCUCACCUGAUCCCAAGAGCUCCGGUUGUCCUCUAUAGCAUGUAAUGACUACAUGACCCACAUUAUCUACUAUAAUAUAUUAUUUAGUGUACAAUUACAUACUCACUUUAAACUUUGGGGACUUACUAUGUGUCAGUCACUGUGCUAUACUGCCUUACUUGUACUUACUUUCUUGAUCCAUACAACAACCCUGUAUGCUACUUAAUAAAACUUACCCUACUUUAUGCAUCAAGAAAUAAGUUUAGACCGAUUAGUCACAGGCUCAAAGUAACAAAAUGAAUGAACUGCAGUUAGGAAGUCUAUCUCAAACCACAUACCAAUCAGUAAGUAACACUACUUUGCUUAACAUAUUUAUAAAUGUCAUAUUACAAUUUUUUGGAUAUGAGAUACCAUGACAAUUCCAUUUGCUUCAUGCAUACAUGGGACAAUUGUACACCAAAAUCAUUUGUGGAGCAUUUUAUCACAGAUAACCAUCACCCAUCCUGAAAGGUUGAUUCAUUUUGUCCAAAGUUGGAUUGGCCCUCUGUAGGUCUAGAAAAUCCCAUAGGUGUUUCUGAUGUGAAACACCUAAACAACAUAGGCUGUGAUGUUUCACAGCCAGAGUUGAAAGCUAUUAAGUAUUACACACUUCUAGGGAUCUAGACAAAUUUUAAAUUACAAACAGCAAGCUCAGGCUUUUAGAUUCAAAUCUUGGCUUUGGUACUAACUACCUAUGGGAGCUUGUGCUUCAACUUCUUUAUAUGAAAACAAGGAUAAUAUUGCUAUUCACUAGGGUUGUUGAGAUGAUGAAAAGGGUUACUAUAUAAAGAAUUUAGAGUGGUGCCUGGCACAAGGAAAAUUUUAAUAAAUAUUAGCAAUUGUCAUGGGAGUGAGAUCAGAUGUACUAAGUAUUUGCCAACUCAGAUCUGAGAAACACUCUUGGGGGUUGAAUCUUAAUAAGUCUAAUGCUAUACCUAUGAGAAAAGACAUUACAUAUAGAUGUUUCUAAUUCAGAAAGUCAUUUAGAAUACAAUUUAUUUGCAUACUGAGGAUUGUUUAUAUUUGAAGCUUUGUGGUGGUGAUGUCCAGUAUGGCACAGAAAAAUAAAAGCUAUGUGGUAUAGCUGAAAAAGCAUGGAUUUGGAAGUAGGGUACUAGUGUUUGAGCCUCUAUUUACUACCUCUGCAAACCAGAGCAAGUCAUUGGAUUUUUUGUUUUCCCCUCUGUAAAGGGAGUA